CAGUGCUCCGCUUCGGUUCGAGAGCAACGGCUGCGUAGGGUGGGAAACGCGAGAACACCAACAGCGUAGGGGCUGAUGAUGAAGCUGAGAGGCACUAUCUGAACAUAAGGCUGGGAGGAGAUGCAGAUCCAGAGUAGCAGCUGCUGAAGGUAACGCCGAGCACCUCAUUAGAGCGAUCACUUAGAAUCAUAGAAUCGCUAAGGUUGGAAAAGACCCACAGGAUCAUCCAGUCCAACCAUUUCAUUGCUAUUUCAUUCACUUUCAUUGCUUUAAGCAACAAGAGAAAAAUAAAAGUGAUCUGUAAGGCACUAACCAAGCAGAGCUAAUCUUCCUGUGGCAGCCUGAGCUGUAGCUGCUGUUCUUACAGCAGCUCGCCUUUCCCUCUGUCCUUUAGCGAGAUGCUCCAGCAAUAACUAGUAUAUCACUCUCCAUUAGUGCCUCCUUGGUACAUCAGUCAGCACCACAGGGACGCUCCGCAGGUUAGGAAGAGCUAAGAAAAAAAAAAAAGAAGAAGAAAUGUUUAAGUGCCACCUCCAAAUUCUGCCAACAGAUGCGCUGUUUUCUUACCUGGCAGUGAACCAAGGAAUUCCUUUCCCCUUUCUUUGCUAUUUGCAGUAGUGAAAAUGACAUGGAUCGUGGUUGGCUUAGACUGAAAGAGCAAUGAAUUGAGCUAAGCAUGCUGAGAACCAAUCAUGAUGCCAGUGAGCCUGAGCACUUACAAAUCAGCUUCAUCAGCCAUAUUCUGAUCAGAUGAAAUAACAGACAGAUGCUCAAGUGAAGAAUUCAAUGUAUAUUUAUUAUUCACAGUUAAUUACUAUCUACCAAAUGCUGCUGCAGAGUUAAAGGAUUAAGUACAUAGGCCUUUUUUAUUUAAACACUGAUUUUUUUUUUUAAUAUAUAUACACACACAAGACAUAAGUCUGCAAGGUUGCAUGAUAUACACCAAUUCCAAAAUAAGGAAACAAUCAAAUGGUCCAGGUGUAGAAUGCCAUAGAUUCUUUUUUCCAAUCACUUUACAAAGAAGGAAGAAAGUGAGUGACAACUAGCAAGGAGAGGGGGAGAAAGUAAUGCUCUACAGGAUAGCUCUCUCUUUCAUCUGCUGGAAAAUUAAAGUAUAAGGCAGAGUUUGUCUCAGGAAUAAAACAUUUGUAACAUUUAGUACAAAAAAGGCACCCUCCAACAAAAGACUGCCUGUACUUAGGCAGGGCAGGAGGAGCUCUCCACUGCAGUUUCUGGAUUCAUUGUUGGAGUGAAGGGAUCCAGCCAAACGGCUCUCAAAAGGAGAAACAACACAACUGAAGAUUGGCACAGGGAGUAAUGCAGUUUGAUUUCUUUCUAUCCAAUUCAAUGUCACACUGCUCUGGUGGAAGAGGAAAUGGCCACAAUGAAGGCCAUUAUGAGAAGAGGUGGGGAUUAUAGUCAUCACACAGCCUGCUGCGAAUGGGGAGUCUAAAAGUAACACUGACCUGAAGAGGGAAGGAGAAACUGGAGAACAGUGAUGCCAACCCCACUUUUCAAGAGCAACACGACUGCAAAUACUCCCUAUCCAGGCAAAAGAGACAGGCUGAUUACAUGCAUCACAUAGAAACAUUCACUAAUAGCAUAAAAUGUUUUCAAGCACUGUUUCUUGAGGUUUUUCUGCAUUAAAAUUUUCCAUCAACGGAAUGUACAUUUUGUAGGACAUCUCAGGGCUACUCUUUCUCAAAUUCCCCACUUAACCCUCCCUCCCCCAAAUAUUCUUCCUCAUUUUCCCUGGUCAUACCUUUCCCCUUUAUCUUAAAUCUUUCAAGGCUUCUGGUUUCAGCUUCCCAUGUUUGAGCAGCCUAAGCUGCCAAGGAAUGCUUUUUUUUUUUUUUUUCCUGUAACAAGGGAAGUCAAA